ACAACAGUUAGAAAUGACUGCUAAUACCGCAUAUGCCUUAGAAUCACAUGGUUCAAAAGGGAAAGGAGCAAUCCGCUGAUAGAUGGGCUUGCGUCUGAUUAGCUAGUUGGUGGGGUAACGGCCUACCAAGGCGACGAUCAGUAGCCGAACUGAGAGGUUGAACGGCCACAUUGGGACUGAGAUACGGCCCAGACUCCUACGGGAGGCAGCAGUCGGGAAUAUUGCGCAAUGGAGGAAACUCUGACGCAGUGACGCCGCGUGCAGGAAGAAGGUUUUCGGAUUGUAAACUGCUUUAGACAGGGAAGAACAAAGACAGUACCUGUAGAAUAAGCUCCGGCUAACUACGUGCCAGCAGCCGCGGUAAUACGUAGGGAGCGAGCGUUAUCCGGAUUUAUUGGGUGUAAAGGGUGCGUAGACGGGAAGUCAAGUUAGUUGUGAAAUCCCUCGGCUUAACUGAGGAACUGCAACUAAAACUGAUUUUCUUGAGUACUGGAGAGGAAAGUGGAAUUCCUAGUGUAGCGGUGAAAUGCGUAGAUAUUAGGAGGAACACCGGUGGCGAAGGCGACUUUCUGGACAGAAACUGACGUUGAGGCACGAAAGUGUGGGGAGCAAACAGGAUUAGAUACCCUGGUAGUCCACACCGU
rnacentral:rRNA from 1 species